rnacentral:rRNA from 1 species
UACGUAGGUGGCAAGCGUUGUCCGGAUUUACUGGGCGUAAAGAGCGCGCAGGCGGUCGUCCAAGUCGCGUGUGAAAGCCCCCGGCUCAACUGGGGAGGGUCACGCGAUACUGUUCGACUCGAAGGCAGGAGAGGGAAGCAGAAUUCCCGGUGUAGUGGUGAAAUGCGUAGAUAUCGGGAGGAAUACCAGUGGCGAAGGCGGCUUCCUGGCCUGUUCUUGACGCUGAGGCGCGAAAGCUAGGGUAGCAAACGGG